AUUACAAGUGUGUGACACCACUGCCUGGCUUCCUUUUGAAGCAUCCCAGCAGGUGCUGUUUGUUCUAAUGAAAUGUGGAAGGCAGGAAACAACCAGGUCUAUUUUUAUCUAGCCGUGCUUCAAGAAGACUUUCAGACAAGCCCAACAGCCUGAGAGAAACAGAGACCAGCUGAACUGCCCAGAAUGCCAGGAAGGGGCUCAGGCCGACUGAGACACCAGGAAAGGACACUCUGCAACUUGUUGAGCUGCCAAUAGGCUUUGCAGUGUGCUCCAGGUUUUCUAGCUUUGUGAACUGUAACCCAUGCUGGGGUAGACUUUGGUGAUACAGUUGUCUUUGAGUCGUGACCACUACUGUAAGUA